UGGCGUAGGGCCGGGAGUCAGAGAGCACAAGCGAGAUGAACCGGAAGGUGAUCUCCAGGGCCUGCAGGGACGGCUUGAUGACGGACUCGUUGCUCCACUGUGAGAAGUUCUCGGAGCUCCAGAGCUUGGCGAGCUCGGGUAAGCGGAGGUAGUGCUCAUAAGCGGCAGUGGCGGAGGCAUCGUUGAUGAGCGGAGGUGCGGGGAUCGUCGCCGGGUGGGACUUCGAAUCAGAUGCCGGGGAUGACCUCGAGGAGAUCUCGGACGCUGCCAUCUUCGCUGCUGCAGUCGAUUCUUUCCUUUCGAGGAGGUAAGAAACAGAGAUAUAUAUAGACAGAAGGAUGUUUCUCCGUUAGAUAUGGAAGGAUGGUGGUGGGGCCAUGGAAGACGCGUGGGAUAAGUGUUAGACCGAGUCGAUGACGGCGGAUGGAAGCUUAUCCAAACAAGGAUGUGCUGUGCCCCUUAACGUCCAUUCCACCCGCUGAUGUACCAGUCCUGUGAUUGGAGGCGGUUGGCAUGGCCUAAAGCGAACAAAUAUCUGCCUCCAAUCACAAAGCUGGGAUCUGCGUGGGUGUAACGUGCCAG
rnacentral:lncRNA from 1 species